CAGUGUUACAGCUUUUAGAAUUUGUCUAGCAGGUUUUCUGGAAAACCUUC
ensembl:snRNA U7 U7 small nuclear RNA